AACGAACGCUGGCGGCAGGCCUAACACAUGCAAGUCGAUCGCUGUCUUCGGACAGAGAGGCGCACGGGUGAGUAACACGUGGGCACAUAACCUUGAGUGCGGAAUAACUAUUGGAAACGAUAGCUAAUACCGCAUACGCCCUACGGGGGACAGAUUUAUCGCUCAAGGAUUGGCCCGCGUUCGCUUAGCUAGUUGGCGGGGUAACGGCCGACCAAGGCGACGAUCGGUAGCUGGUUUGGGAGAAUGAUUAGCCACACUGGGACUGAGACACGGCCCAGAUACCAACGGUAGUCGUCAGUGGGGAAUAUUGGGCAAUGGGCGCAAGCCUGAUCCAGCCAUGCCGCGUGAGUGAAGAAGGCCUUCGGGUUGUAAAACUAUUUCGGACGGGACUAUGAUGACGGUAGCGUCAGAAGAAGCCCCGGCUAACAUCGUGCCAGCCGCCGCCGUAA
rnacentral:rRNA from 1 species